GAUGAACGCUGGCGGCGUGCCUAACACAUGCAAGUCGAGCGAGAAGUAAAGAAAUGAAGCUUCGGUAGAUUUUCAUUAUGGAAAGCGGCGGACGGGUGAGUAACGCGUAGGCAACCUGCCCUGUACAGGGGGAUAGCCACCCGAAAAGGUGAUUAAUACCCCAUGAUGCAAGAGAUACACAUGUAUCACUUGUCAAAGAUUUAUCGGUAUGGGAUGGGCCUGCGUCUGAUUAGCUAGUUGGUAGGGUAACGGCUUACCAAGGCAACGAUCAGUAGCCGACCUGAGAGGGUGAUCGGCCACAUUGGAACUGAGACACGGUCCAAACUCCUACGGGAGGCAGCAGUGGGGAAUAUUGCACAAUGGGGGAAACCCUGAUGCAGCAACGCCGCGUGAAGGAAGAAGGCCUUCGGGUUGUAAACUUCUGUCCUAGGGGAAGAAACAAAUGACAUACCCUGGAGGAGCCCCG
rnacentral:rRNA from 1 species